UCCGCAGGAGUCAGCGGGCGGAAGUGCGGGCUGCGGGUGGCCAUGGAGGAGCCUGUUCACGACGGGGUGGCCUCGCCGGCCCCUCCUGGGACCGGGAAAUCCAAGCUGGAAACAUUGCCCAAGGAAGAUCUUAUCAAGUUUGCCAAGAAGCAGAUGAUGCUAAUACAGAAAGCUAAAUCAAGAUGUACAGAAUUGGAGAAAGAAAUUGAAGAAUUGAGAUCGAAAGCUGUUGCUGGAGGAACUGAUGAUAUUAUUAAGGCAUUGACCAUACGUCUGGAUGCUAUGCUUUUGGAAAAAGCAGAGACUGAGCAACAGUGUGUUUCUUUGAAGAAGGAAAGUAUUAAAAUGAAGCAGGAGGUUGAGGAUUCUGCAACUAAGUUGGAAGAUGUGCGCGAGGAGUUUGAACAAUCACAAAGAAACUAUGUGAAAGAAAUGGAAAAUUUGAAAAAUGAAUUAAUGGCAGUACAUUCCAGAUACAGUAACGAUAAAGCUGGUUGGCAAAAGGAACUGGAGGAAGCAUCAAAAAAACAAUUAGAGCUUUCAGAACAAAUCAAAUUUCAGAGUGAUUCUGAAGAUAAUGUUAAAAAACUACAGGAAGAGAUUCAGAAAAUUAAGCCGGCCUUUGAGGAGCAGAUUUUAUGUCUGCAAAAGCAGUUAGAAGUUGCCACAAAUGAAAAAGAGCGAGAAAUUACUCAUCUCCAAGGAGUCAUUGAGGCUAAUUCUCAGCAGUACCAAAAAGAAAUUAAUAGUUUGCACGAGGAACUUUUACAGUUGAAAUCUACACACCAAGAAGAGGUGAAAGAAUUGAAGUGCCAGAUUGAAGCAUCUGCUAAAGAACACGAAGCAGAAGUAAAUCAUUUAAACCAGCUAAAGGAGAACUUAGUCAGACAGUGUGAGGCAAGUGAGAAGAACCUUCAGGAGAAAUAUGAAUGUGAAUUAGAAAACGCAAACCAGGAAAAUCAGAUGUGUUCUUUGCUCUUACAGGAAGAUACUCUUGUAGGACAAGCAGUAAAUGAAAAAGUCAAACACUUAGAAGAUACCCUAAAAGAACUGAAGUCUCAACAUAGCAUCUUAAAAGACGAGUUAACUUACAUGAAUAAUCUUAAAUUAAAGCUUGAAAUUGAUGCCCAGCAUACAAAGGAUGAGUUUUUUCACGAACGGGAAGAUUUAGAGUUUAAAAUUAAUGAAUUAUUACUAGCUAAAGAAGAACAGGGGUGUGUAGUUGAAAAAUUAAAAUCUGAGCUAGAAAAUUCAAAUAAACAAUUUUGCUGUACCGUAGAACAACAUAACAAAGAAGUACAGAGUCUUAAGGAACAACAUCAAAAAGAAAUAUCAGAACUAAAUGAGGCAUUAUUGUCAGGUUCAGAAAAAGAAAAAUUAACAUUGAUGUUUGAAAUACAGGGUCUUAAGGAACAGUGUGAAAACCUACAACAAGAAAAGCAAGAAGCAAUUUUAAAUUAUGAGAGUUUACGAGAGAUUAUGGAAAUUUUACAAGCAGAGUUGGGGGAAUCUGCUGGAAAAAUAAGUCAAGAGUUUGAAUCAAUGAAGCAACAGCAAGCAUCUGAUGUUAAUGAACUUCAGCAGAAGCUCAGAACUGCAUUUAAUGAAAAAGAUGCUCUUCUUGAAACCAUGAAUAGUCUCCAGAGAGAAAAUGAAAAGUUAUUAACACAGCAACAAAUUGUACCAGAACUUGAAAAUACCAUAAAGAACCUUCAAGAAAAGAAUGAAGUAUAUUUAGUUAGUCUCAGUCAGAGAGAUACCAUGUUACAAGAAUUUGAAGCAAAGAUAAGUUCUCUUACUGAGGAAAAAGAUGAUCUCAUAAGUAAAAUUAAAGGUUCUCAUGAAGAGGUGGAGACUGUCUAUCACAGUCAUGAAAGGGGAGAAAGGUUUAUUGUAGGACCCGGGGAGAAAGUGGAGCAGACUACCCAGUGCAACAGUGAGCUAGAACAAAAGGUAAAUGAAUUAACAGCACAACUAGAAGAAACCUUAAAAGAAAAGGAUCAAAAUGACGAAAAACUGGAAAAGCUUAUGGCUCAGUUGAAAACUCUCUCUGAAGACCAGGAAGCAGUGUCAUCUGAAGUGAAGUCUCUUCAUGAGGAAAAUAGUAGACUGUGUUCAGAAAAGAACCAGUUGAGCAGGGAUUUGGAAUCUCUCCUAUCUCAAAAAGAAGGAGAUUUUAUGCUGAAGGAGCAGAUUUCUGAAUUAGAAAAGAAACUUCAGUUAACAGUUGAAGAAAGAGAUAAUUUAAAUAAACUUUUGGAAAAUGAGCAACUUCAGAAGUUAUUUGUCAGAGCUCAGUUGUGUGGUUUUCUUGAACAAAUGGAGUCAAAAGUUUCAGAAAAAAGUGAAGAACAAGAUGUUGUAAGUGUCCUACAAGCUGUAGGUGAAUCCUUAGCUAAAAUAAAUGAAGAAAAACACAACUUGGUCUUCCAGUAUGGUAAAAGGGUAGCAGAGUUAGAAAAAGAGAUUAAGUUUCUCCAAGAAGAGAAUGUGAUUCAAUGUGAGGAACUUAGGUCUUUACUAAGAGACCAUGAGCUAGAGAAACCUCUCUUAAGGAAAGAGUUAGAAGAAACCCUCUUGGAAAAAGAGGCCCUGCAGUCUGAUCUUCUAGAAAUGAAGAAUGCUAAUGAACAAACAAGGCUUGAAAAUCAGAAUCUCCUAAUUCAAGUUGAAGAAUUAUCUCAAAAAUUAUGUAGUAAAAAUGAAAACCAUAAUGAAAAAGAAAAAUAUUUUAUAAAGGAACUUGAAAACCUAAGGACAUUACUAGAACAAAAAGAAUCAGAAUUGCAAGAUGUGAGAGCAGAGUUGAUACCAUUAAAGGAUUCCUUAGAGAAAUCACCUUCUGUAGAAAGUGAUCAACCUUCAGUAAAAGAGUUUGAAGAAAAAAUAGCAUAUCUGGAAGAAGAAUGCAAAGACAAAGAGGAGAAAAUAGAGAAGUUAAAACUAGUUGCUUUGAAGGCAAAGAAAGAACUAGGUUCUAGCAGAAAAGAGGCCCAGACGCUACGGGAAGAACUUGAAUCUGUUCGCUCAGAAAGGGAUCAGGUGUCUGCUUCCAUGAGAGAUCUCAUUCAAGGAGCAGAAAGCUAUAAGAAUCUUGUAUUGGAAUAUGAUAAGCAGUCAGAGCAGUUGGAUCUGGAGAAAGAACGGGCUCAUAAUUUUGAGCACCAAGUAGAAGACCUGACAAGACAAUUAAGGAAUCUGACUUUUCAGUGUGAAAAAUUAAACUCAGAUAAUGAAGACCUCCUGGCCCGUAUUGAGACACUGCAGUCUAACACCCGGUUAUUAGAAGUGCAGAUUUUGGAAGUCCACAAAGCCAAGGCCAUGGCAGACAAAGAGUUGGAAGCUGAAAAACUUCAGAAAGAGCAGAAAAUAAAGGAGCAUGCCAGUUCUGUAAACGAGCUUGAAGAGCUUCAGCUACAACUGCAAAAGGAAAAGAAACAGCUUCAGAAAACCAUGCAAGAAUUAGAGCUGGUUAGAAAGGAUGCCCAACAAACCACAUUGAUGAACAUGGAAAUUGCUGAUUACGAACGUUUGAUGAAAGAAUUAAAUCAAAAGUUAGCUAAUAAGAGCAGCAAGAUAGAAGAUUUGGAACAAGAAAUAAAACUCCAAAAACAGAAGCAAGAAACGCUGCAGGAUGAAAUGACUUCACUGCAGGCUUCAGUACAACAGUAUGAGGAAAAAAACACCAAAAUCAAGCAGUUGCUUGUGAAAACCAAAAAAGAACUGGCGGAUUCAAAGCGAGCGGAAACUGAUCACUUAAUACUUCAAGCGUCUUUAAAGGGCGAGCUGGAGGCAAGCCAGCAGCAAGUAGAAGUGUAUAAAAUUCAGCUGGCGGAAAUGACGUCGGAGAAGCACAAAGCUCACCAGCACCUGAAGGCGUCCGCGGACCAGCAGCAGCGCACGCUGGGCGCCUACCAGCAGAGGGUGGCAGCCCUGCAGGAGGAGUGCCGCGCGGCCAGGGCAGAACAAGCUGCUGUCACCUCUGAAUUUGAGAGCUACAAAGUCCGAGUUCACAACGUUCUAAAACAACAGAAAACUAAGUCUGUGUCUCAGACUAAGACCGACGGAGCCAAACAAGAAAGAGAUCAUCUGGAGAUGCUGAUUGACCAACUAAAGAUCAAAUUACAAGACACCCAAAAUAACUUACAGAUCAACGUCUCUGAACUGCAGACCUUGCAGUCUGAACACGACGCCCUACUAGAAAGGCACAACAGGAUGCUGCAGGAGACCGUGUCCAAGGAGACCGGGCUCCGAGAGAAGCUGUGCGCCGUGCAGUCGGAGAACUCCGCGAUGAAGUCUGAGCACGCACAGACCGUGAGUCAGCUCUCGGCCCAGCACGAGGCCCUGCGUGGCAGCUUCCGAGACCAGGUGCUGCAGCUGCAGGAGGAGCACCGGCGGACAGUGGAGACGCUGCAGCAGCAGCUGAGCAGGCUGCAGGCCCAGCUCUUCCAGCUCCGGAGCGAGCCGUCCACAAGAAGCCCAGCUUCUUCCCAGCAACCUUUGAGGAGCCUUCGAGAAAGGAGAAGCGCAGACCUCCCGCUUCUGGAUGUGCUGGCCACGACCCGGGAGGAGGGGGAGGGGAUGGAGACCACGGACACUGAGUCCGUAUCUUCCGCCGGCAUCCACGCGCAGUCCUUAGAGCAGCUGCUCCGUUCUCCCGAAGCCAGACUCGAGCCUCCUUCCUGGCACGCUGAAUUCACCAAAGAAGAAUUGGUUCAAAAGCUCAAUUCCACCACAAAAAGUGCCGACCACUUAAACGGGCUGCUUCGGGAAACAGAAGCCACCAACGCCAUCCUCAUGGAGCAGAUUAAGCUUCUGAAGAGUGAAAUAAGGCGGCUGGAGAGGAACCAGGCGCGAGAGCAGUCGGUCGCCAACCUGGAAUACCUGAAGAACGUGCUGCUGCAGUUCAUCCUCCUGAAGCCAGGAAGCGAGCGGGCGCGGCUGCUGCCCGUCGUGGACACAAUGCUGCAGCUCAGCCCCGAGGAGAAGGCCAGGCUGGCCGCCGCCGCCCAAGGUGAGGAGGAAAAUGCUUCCCGUUCCUCCGGCUGGGCGUCCUAUCUGCACAGCUGGUCUGGACUUCGAUAGACUGAUGGGAAAAGCAUUAUUUAUUAACCAAAUAGAAUCCAUUCGGCAAAAAAAGGUUCAUGUAUAUGGCUGUCGUUCUUUUGUCCAGAAGCAUGUGUACGUAAGUCACAUCUCCAUGUGUGUGUCCAUACGUGUGUCUGGUGGGUUUAAAAGGCUCGGCCCGCGGUGAAGUGCAGCAGGUGGAGUGUGGGAGGGGCCGCGGCCCAGGGACCCUGGCCCUCCCGCUGCCGCCAGACCCAGGGGCCACGAGGCCACCCCACUCCCUCCUCUGGACCCUCAGGCCACGUGUGUCGGGGCCGCACUGUGAAUUCUGAAGUUAAAUUAGAUUUCGGUCCUGUACCAGCUGGGAUUUAGGCUUUUAAAAUAAUGUUUGAAGACCAUUUAUCGCAAGGUCAGACUUGCAGGUAGAUUGUUAUUAGUGACAAAUCAUGAGAGAAAAUUUGUGAGUUGGAGUGUGAAGGAAAAUGCUUUAUCAGUAACGCUGACGUCUUAUGACGGGAACGUAAAGUGAAUGUGCUGCCGUUCGUUACGAGACUAAGUUAAAAUGUGAUACAUUUCGUUAUUUCCUUUCAAAUGAGCUGUUCUUUUUUCUCUGAAGUGUAUUACCUCAAAACCUGUUCUGGGAUCGGAUCAGAAGCCCUGGUCGCCACGUUCCCGCGGUGGGGGGGGGGGUGCCCGGGGCCCUGCCCAGGCUCCUGCUGUGCAUCAGCUGCUUCCGCGCCAGGAGUCUGGCGGACCGGGGCCGCCUCCCCAGGUGACCAUUCACCAGGGCGCCGGCUUGCAGCUCCGCGUGCUCCCGGCCCCAGCGGACAGGUUGCUGCGUGCUGCAUGGGGCCCUGGGAGAUCGCACAGCCCCGAGAGCAGCUCUAGGUGCGGGUCACCUGCCUGGGCGCCUCUGAAUAUUCCAUGGAGCCCAUCAAACACGUGUCCUUAACUCAUAAACGUGGGAAUGCUAGUUGCAGUAUUUCUUUGUGGAAAAAUCGCCUCACAGCGUGCUCUGGGAAGCUCUCUCAGCUUCCAGUUCAUACCCCGGUCUUCAGUCUCAGCUGGUGAACUGACUUUGUACUUUGGUGACUGGGAACUUUGGUUUCCAAUUUAAUUUAACUGAAAUUUGCUGCUGACAUGUUGAGUUUGUUCUUUAAACAAAAAUCUCAAUGUCUGUCUUUCCUCCUGUUUUAGAAGAACAGACCUACUAGUGAAUGUAUUAAUGAAAUGCAUCUAUUGCAGAGCUGACUUUAAAAGUUUGAGUUUAGUUUUUUCCUUUAUGAGCUGUGAAUAUGAGUAUGCCAGCAGUGUGCGCUAUAACUGUCACAGUAUUUAAAUAGAUUUCACUGUCUCUGCAAGUCCAGGCCUCUUUGAAGUCUGUAAAAAUUUGUUUUGAAAUAUAGUCUCUACCUAUGGACAUAAUAACAAAAUGCCAUUUUGCAAGAUAAAAAAUGUAUUACUUUGAUUACAAAAGGGGUAUCCUUCCCUGGUUUCAGCAAUGAGAGGAAAUGUACUGAUUAUUGUAAUAUUUCUAUUAAACGUGUUGCACUGUUAGGCCUGCUCAUCUUUUAUUAGCCGAGGUCUCCUGGGCAUUUUGAGUUGCUUUAUGAAAUGAAUCUUGGGUUCCUUCUCUGCUGUCUUUACCAGUUGGGACCUCGGACCCUGGGUGCUUGGAGGAACGCAGGUCGCCCUUCGGGUCCGUGGUGCCUGCCGGAUCUGACACCCACCUUCCAGCUGAAAUUCAGGCCGCCUCGGCCUUUCCGUGGGCACCUCUCAAGUUCCGGCCUCUGUGGUGUGAGGCUUUCUUGUACAGCGAACUCUGCUUGUGCUCCAGUCAGCGCUGGCGAUACGUGGUCCGGCCUCUGCCGUGCUGCUGGGCAGUGGGGCCGUGGCUCCAAGUCACCUCGCGACCAGAGGGUGAACAGUCGGUACACUGACAACCAUUCUGCUUUCACUUUCAGUAGAGAAUUCAACAAGUUACAUGAGAUAGUAAACACUCUGUUAUAAAACAGGCUUCGUGUUAGAUGAUUUUGCCCAACUGCAGGCUAUCGUAAGUGUUCUGAGCACGUUUAAGGCGGGCUGGGCUACAACGCUUGUGGGGUCAGGUGUACUAAACGCAUUUUCCACUUUCAGUGGGUUUAGUGGGACAUAGCCCCAUGGUAAGUGGAGGAAGAUCUGUACAUGACUGAAACAGGAAUAUCGAUGUAAAUUUUUAGGAAAAAAAGAGGCUCCUAGAAGGUUUCCAGAGAGAAAAAAAACAAGUCACAUACGCAGGACACAGGAGGGAAAGGGGAGCUGCAUCAGACCUCUCGACAGCAGCACUGUACACCUCAAGGCACCGGAGAAGUGCCUUCAAAAUUCUGAGGAAACAUGAUCUCCAGCCUGGAAUUCUGUAAACACAAGCUCUCAGUUAAAUGGAAAGAGAAAGACAUUUUCAGAUCCUUAGGAACUGAGAAAAAAAUUACUUCCCAUGUCCUUUCUAAGGAACCUUUGAGAGAACCUGCUCCAGAGGGAGAAGAACACGUAAAACCGCAGCCGCCGAGCAGAGACUCGACGCGGGAGAGCACUGAGCCGGGUCCCCGGGGGGUGGCUGGGCAGUGGCCAAGAGGCUGAGGACGGAUAAACAAGGCUCCAAACGCGGGUUCUCCUAGGAAAAAAGAAGUGGAACUAAUAGAUUAUUUGAUAUAGCUAAUGUGUAAAAUUUUAUUGAAAGAUGUUGGAACUAAUAAGGAUCUAUCGUAUAGCGUAGGGAACUCUUACUCAAUACUCUGUAAUGGCCUGUAUGGGAAAAGAAUCUAAAAAAGAGUAGAUAUAUGUGUAUGUAUAACUGAGUCACUUUGCUGUACAGCAGAAACUAGUGCAACAUUGUAAAUCAUCUAUACUCCAAUUAAAAAAAAACAAUUUUACUGAAAAAAAAGAUGUUGGAAAUGGAAACAUGAACACUGACAACAUAUUUGAUAUUAAGGAAAUAUUUUUAGCUUUUUUAGUUUUGAUAAUGUUUAUGUUUAAAAAGAAUUCUUUUAAAAACAUGCUGAAAUAUUUAUUGAAGUCACAUUUGAUCUAAAUUAAUAUGGGAGGAGGGAAAAGUGGGUGAGAGUGUAAAUGAAAGAGGAUCAACAAUAAAUUCAUGGUUUUCCAUGACAAACAUGUUCAUUUUAUGCAUUCUUUUCCCACACACCUGAAGCACACAGUUUUCUCUUUUUUACAUAAUUUGUACAUUGUGUUUUUUAAAAAUACUGAGAUAUAAUUUACCCACCAUAAAACUCACUGUGUAGAGUAUACAGCUGAAUGGCUUCAGUGUAGUCACAGGAUUGUGAAACCAUCCCCAAUUUUCAUCAUUCCAGAAAGAAACUCCCUACCCGUUGUUAGCCUCUCCCCCACUAACCCAUCCCACCCUUGGCAACCACUAAUCUGCCUUCUGUCUGUAGAUUUGCCUAUUUGUAUAAUUCCUGUUACAUUGCAACUAACUCAUUCCUAAUUUCCCAAUAAAAGUAAUAACCUCAUGAGAUUAAAUGAAAUGAUGCAGUCAGAGGCUGACUCAGCAGUGUCUGGGACAUAGGACACAUACAAUAAAUGUUAGAUGUUUUUAUUUUCCACUUGCAAUGUAUAAUUACAAACUAGUUUCAGCACACUCUUGUCACUGUCAUUACCAAGAAGAUUAACAUUAAUGUUAUCCAGUGAAACCAUUGUUUGUGGCUAUAAAUCUUUU